GCGCUCGUUAGGCGCCGCCGGGUACCGGGCGACCGUGAGGCGCGCGGGAGGUAUCGAGGGCGACGUAUACUCGAUACCAGCGGAGACGGACCGCGUCCUUGACGAGACGCGCGACCUGCCGAGCGUGAAACCGCCCGGCGCGGCUGCUGUUGACUCCUUUAUAGAAACAAAAUGGGCGGAGGCGGAGGGGGUGCCUUCACGCCGAGGACGGACGACCAGCUCGACCUCGUCCCCGCCGGCGCGGACGCCGCGGUCGCGAUAGGAUCCGGAUGCAUGGCCGCGGCGUCCGUCGCUCCCUUUCUCAUGUGCGUCGACCGCGCGGUCACCGCCGCCGCGGCCGGCCAGACGUCCUCCGUGUGGCGAGGCAUCGUCG
rnacentral:lncRNA from 1 species